UACAGAGGGGGCAAGCGUUGUUCGGAAUUACUGGGCGUAAAGGGCGCGUAGGCGGCGCUGCAAGUCAGGCGUGAAAUUCCUGGGCUUAACCUGGGGGCUGCGCUUGAGACUGUGGUGCUAGAGGAUGGAAGAGGCUCGUGGAAUUCCCAGUGUAGAGGUGAAAUUCGUAGAUAUUGGGAAGAACACCGGUGGCGAAGGCGGCGAGCUGGUCCAUUACUGACGCUGAGGCGCGACAGCGUGGGGAGCAAACAGG
rnacentral:rRNA from 1 species